UAGCCGCAGUGAGACAACAGAUCAGUCCCGUGUUCAAGCCAGCCUAGAUCUGUUCUGCUUUACUCCUUUAUGUAGUUUCCCCAGUUUCAACAGGGAUGCCCUUCUGAGGAAGACCACAUGAAACCAGUGGAUACUCUUCCAGUGAAGCAAAUUCUUUUCCCAGCACUCUCAAUGGAUAAACAAAUUUCAAGUGAGAUUGAGACUACUUAGGAUCCUUUCUGGUUCAGUUGUGCACGUAUGGACUGAUGCCAAUGGAACCAAUGGAAUGUCUC